rnacentral:lncRNA from 1 species
ACAAAGUUUAUUAACAUGAAAUUACACAUCCCUUGAAAUUUUGAGCCAAAACCUCACAAAAUUGCUCAAGAUAUAGCUCAAGAAACAAACACUAGUAAAUCGGUUUACUUACUACCCUUAAAUUGCAUGUGCUGACUUCAAAAUCCAAUAACUCCUUCAUCCCAACUUAGAAUCCAGUAAGCAGUAUGUGAAAAGUAUAGCCGCAAAAGUGCUCUAUCCAGUCGCGGUCGCCGAUCCUCAAUUGCCGUCCGUACGCGUGCGUUAUGCCCCAAAGAGUGACAGUAGGUCCAGAACUAAUACCUUAACUUUGAGCGCCUAUAACUUCUUCAUAAAAACCCCAAAUAACAUAAAACUUGCACCAAAACCUUAACCAAAAACCUAAACCUUCUGACCUUAGCCUUCAAAGUUCGAAUGGCCUCGAGAAACUAACCCUAAUCCCUAAUAUGGCCUCGGGCAGCCUCCUCAAAACCCAUUGGUCAUGAUUUUUGACCAAUAGGAAUGGAGAUUUUUAUUUUUCAUCUCCAUUCAUCUAUAUUGGUGCCCUAAUUCCUCCCUUUGCUACCAAAAUCCUUCUUCAAUCAUUUUUCUUAUAAGAUUUACAUAAUGUAUGCUCUAAACACCAAAUAAAAGAACCAAAAUAAGUUUUCAAAUGUCACCAAUGUCUAACAAAGGUGACUCUAAAUAUUUAGAAGUUACUAUCAACCAAAACCAAUCUUAAAAGCCACUAUCAAAAAGAAAUUAAAGUUAUAUAAAUUCUAUAAUAAUCUUUUUAAACAACCUCUUUUCAAAGUAAUAAUCAAAUUAUAUUCUACAACCAAAUAAAAUCUAAUAAUAUGGCUCUCAUCAUGUUACUUAAUAAAUUAUAUAUUAAAUACAUAAUUACAUUAUUUUUAUAUAGUAGCCAAACCACAACACGAUAACAUAAAAAUAGCGUAUGCUCCACUGGCGUCAUCGAACCAAGUACCCUCCGUACUAAUGUCACGGACACAAAAUACAGACUUGAAAUCUAACAAGAAGUUCAAGAAGAAGUGGCAGAACUAGAUUAAACAGAUGAGUAUAAGAACAACACCAGAAAGGUGAGCUAGAACUCCAAGAGAUGUGUUGUCGAGACUGAAGAACCCUUCAGCCUCGACUCCUAUAUAUACUACUGAAUAGGAAGCUUCUCGAGCUACUUCCGCUAACUAGGACGCUUCUCCAACAACUUCUACUAAUUAGGAAACUUCUCGAGCAACUUCCUAGAAUCUAUCAGAAUAUUCUAGAACCUUCUAAGAAUAUUCUAGAACAUUCUAAGAGAAUCUUUAGGAAAUAUUCUAAGAAUCUUUUAGAACAUUCUAAAGGAAUCUUUAGAGAAUCUUUAAAGAAUAUUCUAAAAGAAUAUUCAAAGAAUCUUCUAAUGUAUGUCCAUGACAUCACCUCCUCUUCUAACUUCGAGGUCUCCGAGAAGCAAUGUUGUUAUCAGUCAAUACCAACGCAAGAAAAUGAAAAUCUGUCGCAUCACAUCCGCUAUGAAUUCCAAUUGUUGUUCGCGAGGCAAAUGAUUCAUCGGUCCUUGGAGCCAACGGUAGUGACCAAUACCUUCAACCUCUGACCAAGCGUGGACUUCUGUGUCUUCAUUGUGAAACUGUCCUCCAAACACACCUUCUGGCUGACCGUCGUAGGCAGGCUCGACCUCAAAUACAAUUACUAGCGAUCUGUUGCUCGGUAUCCUUCGACGUCAUCGUGGUGCAGGCGGUUCUUCAUCUCACGAUCGUCUUCGUGAGCUAGUCGCUUGAGAUGACAUAACAAGUGUAGUAUCUUGACUAUCCAUGUCUAAAGGCUAAAAUGAUGAGAGCAAACUAUAGUUGCUAACAAAGUUCUACACUAUCGAACUAUGGGUUUUGGAGGUGCCGUCCUCCCUUUUUAUGCUACUUGAUGAGCAAGCUUCAGCAAGAAGCUAUCGUUGAAUCGGCUUAGGUUUAUGAGGAUAUCGUUGAUGAAAUUCUUGUACCUUUUUUGGUGCAUUGGCAAGAUUUUUGGCACGCUCCCACGUUCGUUCAUUGAUGUCGUAUCCACUCCAAUGCACUAAAUACUCCAAUUUUCUCCUAUUACGCCGUGAAUCUAAUACCUUUUCCACCUCGUAUUCCUCAUGGUUUUCAAUUUCGAUACUUGGUGGCGGACUUUGUACUCUUUGGGGAAAAGCUGACUCUCGAUAAGGUUCCAACAAAGACACAUGAAAGACUGGAUGUACCUUCAUAGUAGCUGGUAACUCCAGAUGAUAUGCCACCGGAUUGAUCUGCUUCUCGAUAACAAAUGGCCCUAAUCUCCGAUAGUCCAAUUUGUCACAUGGCCGCUUGGUCUUGAUAUUCCGUCGAAGAAGCCAUACUUUACUUCCAACUUUAAAAGUAGGCGCCUCAUUUCGAUAUUUAUCUACAGAUGCCUUGUAACUCUCUUGGGCAGAUUGCAAUUGAAGCUUCAAUGUCGCUUGAAGCUCCGAUAGUUGCUUCACAAAUCCUUCAGCUGCUGGGUUGUUAUUUGCUGAAGAACUCAAUAAAUCGAGCUUGAGGUGGUAUCCGUAGUUGGAGAAGAAUGGUGUUUGUUGAGUUGAUGCAUGAAGAGUGUUGUUGUAUGCAAACUCAGCAAGCGAUAGAUAUGCAGUCCAAUCAUCUUGUUGAUAGUUGAUGCUGCAUCGUAAAUAUUGCUCCAAAACUUGAUUCACCCGCUCCGUUUGACCGUCAGUUUGAGGAUGAAAAGCCGAAGAGAGCUUAAUAUCCACCUUCAAUAUCUCAAAGAGAGACCUCCAAAACUUGGAUACAAACUGAGUACCUCGAUCCGACACGAUAUCAUCUGGUAGGCCAUGAUAACGAUAUAUGUUAUCAAGAAAGAGUCUUGCGGUGUCUUCACUUGACGAUGUUUUCUUGCAAGGCACGAAAUGCGCCAUCUUUGUAAAUCGAUCCACCACAACAAAGAUGCUGUCAAAUGAAUUCGAUGGCGGUAGGUCCGUAAUGAAGUCCAUAGAAACUGAAGACCAUGGUCGGUGCGGAAUAGGCAAUGACUGGAGAAGUCCAUAUGGACGAUGUCGAGGGAUCUUGAAUCUUGAACAAACAUCACAAGAAAGGACAAAUUCCUUCACAUCCUUCCACAUUUGGGGCCACCAAAAAUCUCGUGAAAUAAGCUCCAAAGUCUUGUUGAAUCCAAAAUGUCCCGUAGCUAGAAAGUUGUGGCGAGAUUGAAGUACUCGGAGUCGAGUUGAUCCUUUUGGGAUAUACAACUGCUCCUCAAAAUACAGAAGAUCUCCCUCCACCUUAAAUUUGUCAUUAUCGACACGUUGUUUGAUGUCAAGAGCUAUAGAAUCCUCAAUGGUCGCAGUACGUACCUCGCUGAGGAAGCCGUCAUCGAUAGUUGCAACAGUAGCAAAAAUCCUGAAUUUUUCUGGUUUCAACAAUGUUGUACAUUGUUGAUCAAACGCUGCUUCUCCAGCCUUUGGCGCAAGAUACGAUCUCCUCGAUAAUGCGUCAGAUAAUCCUUGCUGUUUUCCAGGGCAGUAGGUGAUAAUAAAGUCAAAUCGUGAUAGAGACAUAUUCCAUCGAGCUUGACGACGAUUCAAAAUUUGAGCUGUCAUGAAGUACUCCAAAUUCUUGUGGUCCGUAUAAACAGUCACUGGAUGUGCAGCUCCUUCGAGGAAGUGACGCCACUCUUGGAAGGCAUCCACUAUAGCAAGCAGCUCUUUGUCGUGGAUCUCGUAGUUGAUCUCAGCAGCAGAGAACUUUCGUGAAUAGAACGCAACUGGGUGAAGCUUCUUGUCUAUGCCCAUCUGUGAAAGCACAGCUCCCAAAGCAAAAUCUGAAGCAUCGGUCUCUAAAUAGAAAGCCUUUGCAAAGUCAGGGUGUACCAAGAUUGGAGCCGUAGUGAAUGCCGUCUUGAGAUCUUGAAAUGCUUUUGCUGCUUGUGAUCCCCAUUCGAGCUUGUCUUUGCUUGUUAGACGCGUGAGUGGUGCAGCAACUUGAGAAUAAUUCUUGAUGAAGAUCCGAUAGAAGUUAACAAAUCUAAGAAAAUACUGAACAUCUCUAACCGUCUUCGGAACUUCCCAAGAUAUAAUUGCUUCUACCUUUUUUGGAUCCAUCUUCAAGCCCUCUGUAGUCGCAAUGAAGCCCAAAAAUUCCAUCUCAUUCUGGUGAAAUUGACACUUCUCCAACUUGGCGUAGAGUCCUCGUUCGCGUAGUUUUUCAAGAACCAAACAAACGUGCUUCUCAUGUUCUUCUUCAUUCUUGGAAAAUAUCAAAAUAUCAUCUAGAUAGAUGACAACAAAGUCAUCGAGGUACUCCCGAAAGAUGUCGUUCAUCAUAUGCUGAAAGACCGCUGGAACAUUGGUAAGACCAAAAGGCAUGACAUUGUACUCAAAAUGGCCAUACCUUGUACGAAAGGCUGUCUUCCAUUCAUCUCCUUCUUUGAUUCGCACAAGGUUGUAGGCUCCUCUUAAAUCAAUCUUUGUAAAAAUCCUUGCACGUCCAAGUUGAUCUAAGAGGCCGGAGAUCAAAGGUAAGGGAUAGCGAUUUUUCUUGGUCACCUUGUUGAGUCCUCGGUAGUCCACGCACAUCCGCAGUGAGCCAUCCUUUUUCUUCACGAAUAGGAUUGGUGCUCCAGCUGGCGACUUUGAAUGUCGAAUAAAAUUUUUGGCUAGAUUUUCAUCGAUGUACUUCCGCUGUCGUAUUACGUGCUUUCCUGCUCGAGAACGCGCCGGGCGUCUGGCUGUAGAAGGUAGUAUGGAGAUUCACCGAUAGUCAAGCAGUCUAUCAGUUUUUGACUGCUGGAAUAUAAACGACUGCAACAAUGUACCGUAAAUCUAUACGGGUGCUCUUCGACUGCUUGUCGGAGUCCUUUUUGCCCCAGCCGGUAGGUCUCUAGACGUUACAGAGAACCCCGUACAACCCAAACUGUUAACGUUCAAUACUCCUUUGUACUUACGAUCUUGUAUCCACUGACUGUCUUGUUAGAUUAACCCAAUAAAUUUCAUUCACUCCGCAUACUCAAUCCUAUAGACACCCUUUUAAUCCUUCAAUCACAGACGUAACUCGAUUUCACAAAACAGUCAAGAGUAUUCAAAUCCACUUCAUUUAAAAAUCCCGAUUCACCAGUACAACACUGACUUCAGCAGCGAUAGCCUCAGUCUUCCCCAAAACUCUACGAAGAAGAAAAAUCCAAAUCCUAUGUCUUUCCUUCCCCGACCCGAAGCAUGAAGCUCCUCUCUCUAAUUCCCUUGAUCUCCAAAAACCUCCCAUCCCCCCUAACCUUAUCCUCUGAAUUUCUUCAAUCUUCCGUCUUAGAUCCGGAAUUGGCUCCCACCUCAAGCUUUCUCCUCCGUUUUUACCUUUAAGAAAUCCAUUUACCGAAAACAACGUUCCCUGAGACGGCACAGAGAACAGGACAGCCUGAAACAGAAUCGAACCCCGUAAUCGGGACUUCAUUGAGUCGCCCGACCAAUUCAGGUCCUAUAUUGGGAAAGAUGCCCGUAAUAACCUGGAUGUUCCCGUAAUUAGACUGCAUUGGGUUGCCCCACCAAUACAGGUCUCAUAUUGGGUAAGAGGACCCGGAUUGGAUUAUCGAAAUUGGAUCCAAUUGGCUCCUCGAACCCGUCGUGUGAAUUGGUCCUUCUCUUCCUACUGACUCCCGUUAUUCGAAUCAAACGGGGCAUUCCAGUAUGCCCCGGCUGACUGUAACGGAGUCACUGAACCUGACCACUCAGUAUUUGUACUGGAGUUGGUCGAUGCUCCCAAUAUUCGAGAUAACUGAAUAUUAAUAAAAUCCCCCUUUCUUUUUAUUUUCACUGUAUACUCCUGUUACAACACGACACCGCAAUUCUGCCAACUCCGUCUGCGAUAGGUUGUAUAUUGGACCAAAAGGUGGUUGCGCUCCUUCCUCUAAGUCUAUGGCGCAAUCAUAUGGUCGAUGUUCCGGCAGUAUAUCGGCGUUCUUCUUCUGAAACACGUCUUCAAAAUCCCUAUAUUGCUAUGGUAUAUUCGAUGUUGAGAUAUUCUCGCCGCUAGUUGAAGCUGCAUAAAUGACAAAUGGUGCGCCUUCCUUGGACGAUCUUAGGAACGCUCUCGCUCCAAUAAACAUGGAUUUCUUUAUGUAGGUUCUACCAACAGGUUUAUUAUUAUUUUUUUCAGGAAAUGUUAUCCUUCGUAGCCUCCAAUCAAUGGACGGAUUAUGAUUUUCUAAUCAAGAAAGACCAAGGAUAACAGGGCUUGAUGGGGUUCUAAUAAUAUUAAAAAUAACGUGACUACUAUGGUCCUUAAACACCACUUCUAUAGGUUCUGAUUCGUGGGUAACGUUGCCUGACAAUAAGGGUCGUUCAUCUAUCACCUCUACGUGAACAGGUUUGGACUUCUGUACUAAACGGAUCUUGUGGCGUUUAGCAAACUCUUCAUCUAAAAAACAAGUAGAUGCCCCCGAAUCCAAUAAAGCUAAAGUUUUUUGUUUUUGAGGGCCUAAAAACAAAGGAAUUGUAAAACAACGGGCAGGUUGGACAGAGAAGGAGGAACCUGAUUGUUGUCGUGAUAUUAGAUUGUCCAGCCGCACGGUUCCUACUGUGGCUGGGCGUCGUCGUUUUCUGGAAUCAUCGCACUUCUAGUCUUGAUAGGGUGCCAAUUUUGCUUCUUUGGACAAUUUCCAACCUUGUGACCUUCUUCUCCACAGUACAAACAUAACCCUUCCUCCAUACGCCGUUUCUUCUCUGUUGGAAUAAGAGAUCGGACACGCGCCGUGUCGAUUUGCAUGUCUGUUACCUCCGAAUGUGAGUUUAAGCUAUUUGCAGACAUAGUCACGUCGUAACGAGUCAUUUGGUGUCUUGGACGUUGGUCUUGGCGACGCUGGAAUAGGCGGUUGUCACACUUUAUAGCUUGGCUAAUAGCUUCGUUGAGCGUUUGAGGAUCAGGAAGAGAUAACAACAAGUCCUUCACAUCAUCCUUCAAGCCCCAAUAAAACUGACUCACCAACGCCUCUUCACCCCAAUUAAUGUCACUUGCCAAUUGUCUGAAAUUCGAGGCAUAGACUGAUAUAGAGCGUGUUCCUUGUCGUAGCGAUCGGAUCUUUGUUGUAGUCCAUCGAACUUUAUCAUGCUCGCCAAAUGCUUCUGCAAACGCCUCCAAGAACGUUUCAAAGUUACUCAGGAUUGGUGAUCGCUUCUCGAACAAGGGAGUAAACCAAGACAGAGCUUGUGCUGUAAGCAAGGUUCCAACAAGCCCAACACGCGCUUCCUCCGUCGGAUAACGUUCGGGCUGUAAAAUUGUUAUCAACCUGAUUUGGUUGACAAAACCUCGAAACUUGGAACGAGUUCUAUCAAACUUAUCCGGAAGACUAACUCGAGGCUCCUUUUGUUGUAGGACUACUCGAUCUUGUUGAAAUGGAGGUAGAACUGCUUCUUCUGGCGCAGAAGUUUGAGGCUGAUAUGCUUUAGAUGGCGCUAUCCCAGAUGCUCCAUUGUUAUGGAGUCCUACCAUGACUCCUUCGAUCUCUGUUGUCCUAUGUGACAACGAGGCAAGAGCAUUUAUGAUGGCAUCUAGUUUGGAUUCUAAACUUUCAGCCAUUUUAACGUCUUAACCUUCGGCUAACCUUCAGAAAGAAGAAAAAAGAGUUUUGACAAGAAGACAAUAUUGGUUCAGAGGAGAGUACUCCGCAACCUCUAAAACGCCUUAAGACUCCAAGAUGAGGGGUAAUCCACUCUCUCCAAGAAGAAUAAGGCUCCAAUAUUGAGAAAGAAGAGAUAUCAGUUUAGAGGAGGGUAAUCCGCAACCUCUAAAAUACUAGCACACCUUCAAGAAGAGGGAUAAUCCACUCUCUAACAAGAAGGAACUAGCUCUGAUACUAGUGAAAAUGCAGUCUCGACAAACUGUCACGGACACAAAAUGCAGACUUGAAAUCUAACAAGAAGUUCAAGAAGAAGUGGCAGAACUAGAUUAAACAGAUGAGUACAAGACAAAACCAAAAAGGUGAGCUAGAACUCCAAGAGAUGUGUUGUCGAGACUGAAGAACCCUUCAGCCUCGACUCCUACAUAUACUACUGUAUAGGAAGCUUCUCGAGCUACUUCCGCUAACUAGGACGCUUCUCCAACAACUUCUACUUAUUAGGAACUUCUCGAGCACUUCCUAGAUCUAUCAGUAUAUUCUAGACCUUCUAAGAGAUCUUUAGGNNNNNNNNNNNNNNNNNNNNNNNNNNNNNNNNNNNNNNNNNNNNNNNNNNNNNNNNNNNNNNNNNNNNNNNNNNNNNNNNNNNNNNNNNNNNNNNNNNNNNNNNNNNNNNNNNNNNNNNNNNNNNNNNNNNNNNNNNNNNNNNNNNNNNNNNNNNNNNNNNNNNNNNNNNNNNNNNNNNNNNNNNNNNNNNNNNNNNNNNNNNNNNNNNNNNNNNNNNNNNNNNNNNNNNNNNNNNNNNNNNNNNNNNNNNNNNNNNNNNNNNNNNNNNNNNNNNNNNNNNNNNNNNNNNNNNNNNNNNNNNNNNNNNNNNNNNNNNNNNNNNNNNNNNNNNNNNNNNNNNNNNNNNNNNNNNNNNNNNNNNNNNNNNNNNNNNNNNNNNNNNNNNNNNNNNNNNNNNNNNNNNNNNNNNNNNNNNNNNNNNNNNNNNNNNNNNNNNNNNNNNNNNNNNNNNNNNNNNNNNNNNNNNNNNNNNNNNNNNNNNNNNNNNNNNNNNNNNNNNNNNNNNNNNNNNNNNNNNNNNNNNNNNNNNNNNNNNNNNNNNNNNNNNNNNNNNNNNNNNNNNNNNNNNNNNNNNNNNNNNNNNNNNNNNNNNNNNNNNNNNNNNNNNNNNNNNGAAGCUGCGUUUGGAGGUCAGUUACACAUUGAAGAAAUAGAAGUCCACGCUCGGUCAGAGGUUGAAGGUGUUGGUCCACUACCGUCGGCUCCAAGGUCCGAUGAAGCAUUUGCCUAUCGAACAACAGUGGGAAUUCAUACGCGGAUGUGUUGCGACAGAUCUUCAUUUUCUUGCGUGGGCAUUGACUGAUAAUAACAUUGCGUCUCGGAGACCUCGAAGCUAGAAGAGGAGGUGAUGUCAUGGACAUACAUAGGAAGAUUCUUCGAAUAUUCUUCUAGAAGAUUCUUUAAAGAUUCUCUAAAGAAUCCUUUAGAAGGUUAUAAAAGAUUCUUAGAAUAUUCCCCAAAGAUUCUAGUAGAAUGUUCAAAAAUAUUCUUAGAAGGUUCUAGAAUAUUCUGAUAGAUUCUAGGAAGUUGCUCGAGAAGUUUCCUAAUUAGUAGAAGUUGUUGGAGAAGCGUCCUAGUUAGCGGAAGUAGCUCGAGAAGCUUCCUAUUCAGUAGUAUAUGUAGGAGUCGAGGCUGAAGGGUUCUUCAGUCUCGACAACACAUCUCUUGGAGUUCUAGCUCACCUUUUUGGUGUUGUUCUUGUACUCAUCUGUUUAAUCUAGUUCUGCCACUUCUUCUUGAACUUCUUGUUAGAUUUCAAGUCUGCAUUUUGUGUCCGUGACAGUUUGUCGAGACUGCAUUUUCACUAGUAUCAGAGCUAGUUCCUUCUUGUUAGAGAGUGGAUUAUCCCUCUUCUUGAAGGUGUGCUAGUAUUUUAGAGGUUGCGGAUUACCCUCCUCUAAACUGAUAUCUCUUCUUUCUCAAUAUUGGAGCCUUAUUCUUCUUGGAGAGAGUGGAUUACCCCUCAUCUUGGAGUCUUAAGGCGUUUUAGAGGUUGCGGAGUACUCUCCUCUGAACCAAUAUUGUCUUCUUGUCAAAACUCUUUUUUCUUCUUUCUGAAGGUUAGCCGAAGGUUAAGACGUUAAAAUGGCUGAAAGUUUGGAAUCCAAACUAGAUGCCAUCAUAAAUGCUCUUGCCUCGUUGUCACAUAGGACAACAGAGAUCGAAGGAGUCAUGGUAGGACUCCAUAACAAUGGAGCAUCUGGGAUAGCGCCAUCUAAAGCAUAUCAGCCUCAAACUUCUGCACCAGAAGAAGCAGUUCUACCUCCAUUUCAACAAGAUCGAGUAGUCCUACAACGAAAGGAGCCUCGAGUUAGUCUUCCGGAUAAGUUUGAUGGAACUCGUUCCAAGUUUCGAGGUUUUGUCAACCAAAUCAGGUUGAUAACAAUUUUACAGCCCGAACGUUAUCCGACGGAGGAAGCGCGUGUUGGGCUUGUUGGAACCUUGCUUACAGCACAAGCUCUGUCUUGGUUUACUCCCUUGUUCGAGAAGCGAUCACCAAUCCUGAGUAACUUUGAAACGUUCUUGGAGGCGUUUGCAGAAGCAUUUGGCGAGCAUGAUAAAGUUCGAUGGACUACAACAAAGAUCCGAUCGCUACGACAAGGAACACGCUCUGUAUCAGUCUAUGCCUCGAAUUUCAAACAAUUGGCAAGUGACAUUAAUUGGGGUGAAGAGGCGUUGGUGAGUCAGUUUUAUUGGGGCUUGAAGGAUGAUGUGAAGGACUUGUUGUUAUCUCUUCCUGAUCCUCAAACGCUCAACGAAGCUAUUAGCCAAGCUAUAAAGUGUGACAACCGCCUAUUCCAGCGUCGCCAAGACCAACGUCCAAGACACCAAAUGACUCGUUACGACGUGACUAUGUCUACAAAUAGCUUAAACUCACAUUCGGAGGUAACAGACAUGCAAAUCGACACGGCGCGUGUCCGAUCUCUUAUUCCAACAGAGAAGAAACGGCGUAUGGAGGAAGGGUUAUGUUUGUACUGUGGAGAAGAAGGUCACAAGGUUGGAAAUUGUCCAAAGAAGCAAAAUUGGCACCCUAUCAAGACUAGAAGUGCGAUGAUUCCAGAAAACGACGACGCCCAGCCACAGUAGGAACCGUGCGGCUGGACAAUCUAAUAUCACGACAACAAUCAGGUUCCUCCUUCUCUGUCCAACCUGCCCGUUGUUUUACAAUUCCUUUGUUUUUAGGCCCUCAAAAACAAAAAACUUUAGCUUUAUUGGAUUCGGGGGCAUCUACUUGUUUUUUAGAUGAAGAGUUUGCUAAACGCCACAAGAUCCGUUUAGUACAGAAGUCCAAACCUGUUCACGUAGAGGUGAUAGAUGGACGACCCUUAUUGUCAGGCAACGUUACCCACGAAUCAGAACCUAUAGAAGUGGUGUUUAAGGACCAUAGUAGUCACGUUAUUUUUAAUAUUAUUAGAACCCCAUCAAGCCCUGUUAUCCUUGGUCUUUCUUGAUUAGAAAAUCAUAAUCCGUCCAUUGAUUGGAGGCUACGAAGGAUAACAUUUCCUGAAAAAAAUAAUAAUAAACCUGUUGGUAGAACCUACAUAAAGAAAUCCAUGUUUAUUGGAGCGAGAGCGUUCCUAAGAUCGUCCAAGGAAGGCGCACCAUUUGUCAUUUAUGCAGCUUCAACUAGCGGCGAGAAUAUCUCAACAUCGAAUAUACCAUAGCAAUAUAGGGAUUUUGAAGACGUGUUUCAGAAGAAGAACGCCGAUAUACUGCCGGAACAUCGACCAUAUGAUUGCGCCAUAGACUUAGAGGAAGGAGCGCAACCACCUUUUGGUCCAAUAUACAACCUAUCGCAGACGGAGUUGGCAGAAUUGCGGAAGUACAUCGAUGAAAAUCUAGCCAAAAAUUUUAUUCGACAUUCAAAGUCGCCAGCUGGAGCACCAAUCCUAUUCGUGAAGAAAAAGGAUGGCUCACUGCGGAUGUGCGUGGACUACCGAGGACUCAACAAGGUGACCAAGAAAAAUCGCUAUCCCUUACCUUUGAUCUCCGGCCUCUUAGAUCAACUUGGACGUGCAAGGAUUUUUACAAAGAUUGAUUUAAGAGGAGCCUACAACCUUGUGCGAAUCAAAGAAGGAGAUGAAUGGAAGACAGCCUUUCGUACAAGGUAUGGCCAUUUUGAGUACAAUGUCAUGCCUUUUGGUCUUACCAAUGCUCCAGCGGUCUUUCAGCAUAUGAUGAACGACAUCUUUCGGGAGUACCUCGAUGACUUUGUUGUCAUCUAUCUAGAUGAUAUUUUGAUAUUUUCCAAGAAUGAAGAAGAACAUGAGAAGCACGUUUGUUUGGUUCUUGAAAAACUACGCGAACGAGGACUCUACGCCAAGUUGGAGAAGUGUCAAUUUCACCAGAAUGAGAUGGAAUUUUUGGGCUUCAUUGCGACUACAGAGGGCUUGAAGAUGGAUCCAAAAAAGGUAGAAGCAAUUAUAUCUUGGGAAGUUCCGAAGACGGUUAGAGAUGUUCAGUAUUUUCUUGGAUUUGCUAACUUCUAUCGGAUCUUCAUCAAGAAUUAUUCUCAAGUUGCUGCACCACUCACGCGUCUAACAAGCAAAGACAAGCUCGAAUGGGGAUCACAAGCAGCAAAAGCAUUUCAAGAUCUCAAGACGGCAUUCACUACGGCUCCAAUCUUGGUACACCCUGACUUUGCAAAGGCUUUCUAUUUAGAGACCGAUGCUUCAGAUUUUGCUUUGGGAGCUGUGCUUUCACAGAUGGGCAUAGACAAGAAGCUUCACCCAGUUGCGUUCUAUUCACGAAAGUUCUCUGCUGCUGAGAUCAACUACGAGAUCCACGACAAAGAGCUGCUUCCUAUAGUGGAUGCCUUCCAAGAGUGGCGUCACUUCCUCGAAGGAGCUGCACAUCCAGUGACUGUUUAUACGGACCACAAGAAUUUGGAGUACUUCAUGACAGCUCAAAUUUUGAAUCGUCGUCAAGCUCGAUGGAAUAUGUCUCUAUCACGAUUUGACUUUAUUAUCACCUACCGCCCUGGAAAACAGCAAGGAUUAUCUGACGCAUUAUCGAGGAGAUCGUAUCUUGCGCCAAAGGCUGGAGAAGCAGCGUUUGAUCAACAAUGUACAAUAUUGUUGAAACCAGAAAAAUUCAGGAUUUUUGCUACUGUUACAACUAUCGAUGACGGCUUCCUCAGCGAGGUACGUACUACGACCAUUGAGGAUUCUAUAGCUCUUGACAUCAAACAACGUGUCGAUAAUGACAAGUUUAAGGUGGAGGGAGAUCUUCUGUAUUUUGAGGAGCGGUUGUAUAUCCCAAAAGGACCAACUCAACUCCGAGUAUUUCAAUCUCGCCACGACUUUCCAGCUGCGGGACAUUUUGGAUUCAACAAGACUUUGGAACUCAUUUCACGAGAUUUUUGGUGGCCCCAAAUGUGGAAGGAUGUGAAGGAAUUUGUCCUUUCUUGUGAUGUUUGUUCAAGAUCCAAGAUCCCUCGACAUCGUCCAUAUGGACUUCUCCAGUCAUUGCCUAUUCCGCACCGACCAUGGUCUUCAGUUUCUAUGGACUUCAUUACGGACCUACCGCCAUCGAAUUCAUUUGACAGCAUCUUUGUUGUGGUGGAUCGAUUUACAAAGAUGGCGCAUUUCGUGCCUUGCAAGAAAACAUCGUCAAGUGAAGACACCGCAAGACUCUUUCUUGAUAACAUAUAUCGUUAUCAUGGCCUACCAGAUGAUAUCGUGUCGGAUCGAGGUACUCAGUUUGUAUCCAAGUUUUGGAGGUCUCUCUUUGAGAUAUUGAAGGUGGAUAUUAAGCUCUCUUCGGCUUUUCAUCCUCAAACUGACGGUCAAACGGAGCGGGUGAAUCAAGUUUUGGAGCAAUAUUUACGAUGCAGCAUCAACUAUCAACAAGAUGAUUGGACUGCAUAUCUACCGCUUGCUGAGUUCGCAUACAACAACACUCUUCAUGCGUCAACUCAACAAACACCAUUCUUCUCCAACUACGGAUACCACCCCAAGCUCGAUUUAUUGAGUUCUUCAGCAAAUAACAACCCAGCAGCUGAAGGAUUUGUGAAGCAACUAUCGGAGCUUCAAGCGACGUUGAAGCUUCAAUUGCAAUCUGCCCAAGAGAGUUACAAGGCAUCUGUAGAUAAAUAUCGAAAUGAGGGGCCUACUUUUAAAGUUGGAAGUAAAGUAUGGCUUCUUCGACGGAAUAUCAAGACCAAGCGGCCAUGUGACAAAUUGGACUAUCGGAGAUUAGGGCCAUUUGUUAUCGGGAAGCAGAUCAAUCCGGUGGCAUAUCGUCUGGAGUUACCAGCUACUAUGAAGGUACAUCCAGUCUUUCACGUGGCUUUGUUGGAACCUUAUCGAGAGUCAGCUUUUCCCCAAAGAGUACAAAGUCCGCCACCAAGUAUCGAAAUUGAAAACCAUGAGGAAUACGAGGUGGAAAAGGUAUUAGAUUCACGGCGUAAUAGAAGAAAAUUGGAGUAUUUAGUGCAUUGGAGUGGAUACGACAUCAAUGAACGAACGUGGGAGCGUGCCAAAAAUCUUGCCAAUGCGCCAAAAAAGGUACAAGAAUUUCAUCAACGAUAUCUUCAUAAACCUAAGCCGAUUCAACGAUAGCUUCUUGCUGAAGCUUGCUCAUCAAGUAGCAUAAAAAGGGAGGAGGGCACCUCCAAAACCCAUAGUUCGAUAGUGUAGAACUUUGUUAGCAACUAUAGUUUGCUCUCAUCAUUUUAGCCUUUAGACAUGGAUAGUCAAGAUACUACACUUGUUAUGUCAUCUCAAGCGACUAGCUCACGAAGACGACCGCAAGAUGAAGAACCGCCUGCACCACGACGACGUCGGAGGAUACCGAGCAACAGAUCGCUAGUAAUUGUAUUUGAGGUCGAGCCUGCCUACGACGGUCAGCCAGAAGGUGUGUUUGGAGGACAGUUUCACAAUGAAGACACAGAAGUCCACGCUUGGUCAGAGGUUGAAGGUGUUGGUCACUACCGUUGGCUCCAAGGGCCGAUGAAUCAUUUGCCUUGCGAACAACAAUUGGAAUUCAUAGCGGAUGUGAUGCGACAGAUUUUCAUUUUCUUGCGUUGGCAUUGACUGAUAAUAACAUUGCUUCUCGGAGACCUCGAAGCUAGAAGAGGAGGUGAUGUCAUGGACAUACAUUGGAAGAUUCUUCGAAUAUUCUUCUAGAAUAUUCUUUAAAGAUUCUCUAAAGAUUCCUUUAGAAGGUUCUAAAAGAUUCUUAGAAUAUUCCCUAAAGAUUCUCUUAGAAUGUUCUAGAAUAUUCUUAGAAGGUUCUAGAAUAUUCUGAUAGAUUCUAGGAAGUUGCUCGAGAAGUUUCCUAAUUAGUAGAAGUUGUUGGAGAAGCGUCCUAGUUAGCGGAAGUAGCUCGAGAAGCUUCCUAUUCAGUAGUAUAUGUAGGAGUCGAGGCUGAAGGGUUCUUCAGUCUCGACAACACAUCUCUUGGAGUUCUAGCUCACCUUUCUGGUGUUGUUCUUGUACUCAUCUGUUUAAUCUAGUUCUGCCACUUCUUCUUGAACUUCUUGUUAGAUUUCAAGUCUGUAUUUUGUGUCCGUGACACUAAUGGGAUGACCAAGAUCAUUUUCUAAUCCUACAUGGAACAAGCCUAAUAGGUAUAUACCAGUGGAGACACCCAAUAUGCUUGAUGGGGGUGCAAGAAGACCACUUUGUUGUUUCCGUUGCAGACAGAUUAGUCAUUAUGCUAGCGAAUGUCUCAAUCCUUCAGCGAGUUACAAAUUACGUGCCAGUGUGUGGGAGUAGCAAGCAGUCGGGGCAUACUUAUCAGCAAUGUAAUGUUCCAUUCAAUUUCAAUAAUCGGGAUCAGCAGAUCCAAAGUCAAAGAAAAAUUGAGGAGAUAAAUCGAGGUCCUCAAGAUACUCCGAUAAAUCGGGUGGAAUGUGUCCAAGCCGUUCUUACCAAGAGUCGACAAAAGGAGAAAGGACCAUUUCAACAAUUGGGUGAGCCUGAUGCAAAGGACCAAUUUGACUCAAUUACGAGGACAUCCAAUCUAGAUCCUGUUAUAGGCCUCUUAUCCAGUAUGAGACCUGACUCGGUUGGACAGCCUGAUGAGGUUCCAAUCACAGAGGCUUCAGUUCUAUUCAAGUUGUUCCAUUCACUAUGCCAUUUUGGAGAAACAUCCUUUUCAUAGAAAGAUCCUCUUAGAGGCAAGAAUUCCAUGGAAGCGUGGUCUGUUGUUUCAAUUCAAAGUCUAGGGCGGAAGAAUAGGGGGCCUCACGGAGUUAAAAGAAGAGAGAAAAAAAAGAAGGGGCAAUCGGAAAAUCGAGAUUUUAAGAUAGGAGAGCUAGCUUCAAGCUCUUUUGAAAGGUGUAGAAUUGGAUUUCAUAGGGUUUGGGAGGACUUGGCAAUCAUUGCUCAAAGUUAGUAUUUAUAUUGAUGAAUUGGAUUCAUAGGGUUUGGGAGGACUUACAGUCGUUGCUAAAGUCCCUGUUUAUUUCGGUGAAUUGGAUUUUUGCAAUAAAGUAACGGCUAGUACUCUUGUCUGUUUUGUAAAAUUGGAGAGAUAUCUAUAGUUGAAAUUUUAGAAAUAUCUAGAUGGUUGAGUAUGCCAAGUGCAUGUAAAAAUUUGUAUUAAUCUAAUGGUACGGAUAGAGGAUAUUUGAUCGUUAGUGUAAAGAGAUAUCAAAAGUUGGCAUAUUGAGGUUGUUUAGGGUUUUUGUAAUAUCUAGAGAUCUACGAGUUAGAAUAAGGUGAAUUUUGACGUGAUAAGUCGUGGACUUAAAGGUGGAGCUGCAAACAAAUUUUGAAUGGAAAUUAAUGAUUAGAGAAGGAAAAAUUGUAAGUUAUAGUUUGUCAUUAAUUUCUAGGCGGUGGUCAAGGGACAUUUGUAUGGAUUUAUGGCAUUUUUUUUUGCAAUCUGUAAGUUGGAUUGGAUUGAACUUCUUGAACAUUUAGAAGACUUGUAAAGAUACUAGUGACAAAAGUUUUACAAUAAUCGGAUGAUCAGAUUGAGAAUUAUGGCUUGCCGAAGCUUCUUGUUUAGGAUUAGGGUUUAAAAAAAUAAAUAAACAAAUAAAUAAAAAUAAAAAUAAAAAUAAAUAAAAUAAAAAUAAAACUAACAAAUAACAAAAGAAAUUGUGCUUAUAAUAUCUCAAAGUUAUUAAAAAUAGUGUUUCUAAGUACUUUGUAUCACGAUUAAGCCUUUACAUUGAAAUCCAAAAUAGUUUGUAUUUAGAUGGUUGAAACCCACUAGACUACUUGGAUACUUACAAAAUCUUAUUUUAUCUUCUAUAGUCAAAUACUCAGUACAUUCUCAAGCUAGAUAGCAUAUAAUAUGACAACGUGGCGAUGUCCUAAAGGACCUCCAACAUGAAUUGACUUUGCUAGCCACAUGUCUUAUCUUGCAAGGCAAGUUAUCUAUGUAUGCGCCACAUAGUUGGCUUGUUCCACAAGCUACUACAUGGAGGUAACUUAUUCCAUAAGCUACCAAUACAUGGUUAGCUUUUUGGCCAAUUUUCUAAUCUACGAACACAUCUAAAGUCAAAACCACGUCUACGAAGCUUCUAAGAAGCUACUCUAUAAGACUUUAUGAAAUUAGUCUAUUUUACCUACUUCUACUUAAUCAUAUAAGUAACUAUUAAAGUAAAUAUAUAUGUCCGUGACAUUACCUCCCCUUCUAGAGAUGAGUUCUAUGAGAAGCGGUCUUCAUAUGUUGAAGAAGUGCAAGAUACGGCAAAUUAUAUUUGCUAUAUACUCUGAUCUUUGCUCUCUUCAAAGAUGGUUGAUAGGUCCAAUCAACCAUCUAUAGUGUCCCAUAUCAGGGCGAGAAGACCACCCUGUUAUUUGGUCAUUGUUAAAGCCUUCAUAACUUCCUUCAAAUAAAACAUUUGGAACACCGUCAGGAUUAGUUCCUACCUUUAAUAAAAUCACUAAACAUCGAGAUUCUCUUCCAAGGUCGUGAUAUCAAACACGUUGUUGUAUGGUGUGAUUUGCUAUCUGGGAACAAAUUGGAUAUCUAGUUGUAGAGAGUGUAGCUUAAAUCUUUAUAUUAAUCUUAUCUUAGUUUCUAAAAACUCCUUUAUUUUGUAUAACACUCAAAAUAUAAAAAAAAAUCCCUUGAAAACAUAUUUUUCCUGCAAAGGGUUUUCUUAUCUCAAACUUUAAAAAUUCAUAUCGCUUGAUCUAACUGUUCAAUUUGUUUCAAUUUAAUAGAAUAGGUAGAAUUCAAACUUAACUUUUAUCACAAAAAAAACCAACCACAAAUUAACUUCCAAUCUUCUCACAUCAAAGAAAUCCUAGUAGAUGCUCUAAAUCCUAAUUUACAAGCACCUAAGCACUAUUUUCUUAAUAUCUCAAGAACACAAUAUUUAAAUAUCAAAAAAAAUAUGUACAAAGUUUAUUAACAUGAAAUUACACAUUUCCUGAAAUUUUUAGAAAAAACCUUGUGAAAUUGCUCAAGAUAUAAUUCAAGACACAACCACUAGUAAAUCGGGUUACUUACUACCCUUAGAUUGCAUGUGCUAACUUCAAAAUCCAAUAACUCCUUUAUUUCAACUUAGAAUCUUAUAAGUAGUAUGUGAUUUUCUAGCCAUGAUAAUCCUAAAAUAACCAGAUUAGAAGGAGAUUUUGUUAUAUUAAAUACUACUACGCUGUUAUGAUCUUUAAUUGUUAUAUCUAAAAGAAUAGUUUCAUGGAUAACAUUUCCAGAAGACAACAAACGACCAUCUAUGACUUCUACAUGUAUGGAUUUAACUUUCUUCACUAAAGAUAUUUUUUGAUUUUUGGCAAAAUCUUCAUCUAUAAAACAUGUUGAGGCUUCUGAAUCUAACAAGGUAAAUACUUUAUGAUUAUUAGAUCCUAAAUGUACUUCUAUUAUAAAAUAAGAAAAGGGAUUUUAGGAGAAGAUAGGACCUUUACUAGGUGUUGCAUAUGAUUCCAGCCGCACGGUCCCUAUUGUAGCUGAAAAAACUCGUUUUUUGAUACACUUUCUUCUUUGGUAAUUGUGCUCCUCAUUUUGUAAUUGUGUUGCUUCUUUGGACAAUAUUAAAUAGUGUGCUUGGCUUCUCCACAAUAUAAACACAACCUCUCUUGGUGAUGUCAAGUCUUUUCCUACUUUGUGAGAGGUUUAAAAUAUAUUAUAUCAAUUUGCAUUGGUUCUCACUUUAACAAAUACGUUUCAAUAAACUUAGGAGUUGGUGCCAUUACUUGACUUAUUCUUCUCCAAUUAAAUCUUUGUUCUUGAUGCCUUUCAAAUAAAUAAUUAUCGCAUGUAAUCGCUUGAAUAAUAAAUUAUUCCAAAGAUUCUGCUUUCGGUAUUGUUAAUAAUAAAUCUUUGACGCUAUCCUUCAAUCCAUAUAAAAAUUAGUUGAUAAGUGAUUUGUUGUUCCAAUUUACGUCACAAGCAAGAUUUUAGAAUUCGACAGCAUAUGUAGUAGCUGAUCAUGAUCCUUGCCAUAAGGAUAGAAGUUUGGUCUCUGCUACUCUUUCUCGAUCAUUUUCUUUGAAUGUGGCCGUAAAUACUUCUAAAAAUGAAUUCAAAUCAUAAAAGAGUCAUGAAUCUUUUUCCAUUAAAGGUGCAAAGUAAGAAAGAGCACUUCCUAAUAGUAGUGCGUCUAUAAAUCUGACUUGGAUAAAUCCAUCAGGAUAUUGGAAAGAGUGCAACCUUAGAUAGAGCUUGACUUGUUGCAAAAAUCCUCAAAAUUUUGAUCUUAUUCCAUCAAACUUCUAAAGCAUACUAAUCCUUAUCCCUGUUAUACUUGUAGAAGCAAAACUCUCUGGAUUUGGUUGUGACAUUGAUCUACUUGCUUCUUUCAACUGCACAACUUUUUGUCAUAGACUCUGAACUUCCUCCAUAGGCAUAGGCAUAGUACUUCCAUGAUUCAUGUUGGAAAUACGUGAGAUUUCUAUUCUUAGAGUAUUGAAAAGCUCAUAAAGAUCUGCUAUAGUUGUAAAUCUAUUCUCACUUCCAUUGAAAGUAGCAUCUAUAAUCUUUUCUUCCAUAGAUAAUUCAAACGAAUUCAAAAGUUAAAUUAAAGGAGGAUAAUCUACAACCUCUAAAAACAAAUCCCACAAAGAGGGGUAAUUCACUCUCUUUAAGGAAAAGAUCAGUGUUAGAAAAUAAGAUUUUUUGUUUAAAGAUAGAUAGUCUGUAACCUUCAAAAUACAAUAAUAAAAGUAAGAUAAUCCACUCACUUCUAAAACAAGACAGAAAUAAUAUGUUAGCACUCUUGUCAAACUAUCAAGGAUAUGAAUCUCGAAGAAAAGAAAUCUUCAAUACACUCUUCUAUCACUGAAGAGAAAUAGAAAGUCACUCAAAAGGUGAUGUAAUAUUAACUAGAAUAGCUAUUGCCAAAAAUAAGAAGACUAGAAAGUCUUGAAACAAGACUAAGACUAGAAAAGGUAUUGAUAAGAGUGAAGAAGGCUUCACUCUUGCCUCCAUAUAUACUAUCUAACUUGGAGCUACGUGGCAAUGUCCUAUAAGACCUCCAACAUGUGUUGACUUUGCUAGCCACAUAUCUUAUUUUGCAAAGUAAGUUAUCUAUGUAUGCGCCAUGUAAUUGGCUUGUUCCACAAGCUAUUUCACGGUGGUAACUUAUUCCACAAGCUACCAAUACAUUGUUAGCUUUUUGGCCAAGUUUCUAACCUACGAAGAUAUCUAAAGUCAAAACCAUGUCUAUGAAGCUUCUAGGAAGCUUCUCUAGAAGACUUUAUGAAAUUAGUCUAUUUUAAUUACUUUUAUUUAAUCAUAUAAGUAACUAUUGAGGUAAAUAUAUAUUUCCAUGAUAAUUUCUAAUAAUUACUUUAUUUAUCAAUUACAAAUUAUAUAUAAACCUUAAUGUUAUAUUUUUCUUAGGUAUUAUGAACCACCAAUUGGAAUAUGGUGCAAUAGAUGGUUCUAAAAUUUCCAUCCUAAUUUUUUUAUAGAGUAAUUCAAUUAGCUUUGGCAUAUGAAUCUUUCGAAUUGGAAUUGACCUCAAAUUCUAUGAUUCAUAUGAAAUUGUGAAAAUAACCACAGGUGCUACAAUACUUAAAUUAAUGCAUCAUAUCUCAUGUAAUUUAGAUGCAAAUGCCUUACUUGUUAAAGUAAAUGGAUGAUAAGUCAGAAGGUAAAAGAUAUUAUCUUAGAUAAGUUGUUAAUGGUCAAAAGGUAACAAAAGGAUGAAGAAAAGUUACCAAGGUGGCGGCUAGGGUUAUAGGUGGCGGCUAGGAUUAUAGGUGGUAGCUAGGAUUUAAAGUGGCAGCUAGGGUUUAAAGUGGCGACUAGGUUAAGAGGAUUCUAGGGUUUAGUUGGAUGAAAGUAAGAUGAAUAGUAGCCCAAAUGGAUGUAACCUCUACCUAUAAAUAAAGGGUACUGGAAGUGAGAGGUAUCUCAUUCCACACUUCUCUUGUGUCUAACCUUGCUGAUUUCUACAUACUUGUGUCUUACUUAUUGUAUUUUUUCAAUAGGUUAUGGGCCCACACACACUUUAUUGUACUAUUCAAGUAAGUUAAAGUCAUUUGCUGGUUGUUACUCUUACCAAGAAUAGAUCUUAUGGUGUUUACUAAUGUUAGAGAUUGUAUGAUCUAAUCUUAUAUUUUGACUUGUGGAGGUUCUGAUUUGGACCUUAUAGAUCUCUUACAUCAGUUUGAAGGUUCUUAACUCCUAGGAUUGAGUGAUUAAGACCUUAUACAAAGACCUUGAUAGUGUCUUUGAUUUUGUCAUGAAAAAGUGAAUUUUAUGAGUGGAAGAACUUGAUGGUGAGGUUGAUUGGAGUUCACAUACUUGUAAGAAGCUUCAAAAGUUGAUUUGGGAGUGUUUGGAGUGAAGAAACAUUCAUUUGUUCACAAGAGGGCAUUCUAAGAUUUUGCUAGUACAAAAUUGUUUUAGUGAUUUUAAGCACAUAGAGACUCUUUUUCUUGAAAUUUUUUGAUAGACCUCUUCUAAGACAUGGCUUCAAGUGAGGGUGAAGGUUUGAAAGUGAUUGAGAAGUUUAGAGGUGACAAUUUCUACCAUUGGAAGGUCAAAAUAGAGCUUUUGUUGGCGUCUUUGGACCUUUGGGACAUUGUAAAUGAAAGUGAAGAGCCUCUAAGCAUGCAUGCUGAUACUAAAGAGAGGAAGGACUUUACAAGACGUGAAAAGAAGGCUUUUGGCAUCAUUGCCACUAAUUUGGAUGAAGCCAACUUUUCUCAUAUCAUCUCUUGCAAAGGACCAACAGAAGUAUGGAAGACUCUUUACAACAUAUAUGAGAGCAAGAAAUUAUCCAAUAUCAUCUUCACAAGGAGGAAAUUCUUCACUUGUAAGAUGGAAGAAGGUGAAGACCUCAUGGCUCAUGUCAACAAGAUAAAGGCCUUUGCUAAUCAACUUGAAAUUAUUGAUAAGCCUUUAGAAGAGAGUGAUAUUGUCAUGACCUUGCUUAUGAGCCUUUCCGAGUCCUACAACUACCUCAUUGUGGCAUUGGAAUCCAUCAAAAUAAAAGAACUGACAAUGGAUUAUGUGACGGCAAGACUUGCCUAUGAAGUGACCAAGAGGAAAGAAAAAGAGCCCCAAAAUGAGGAUUCGGCUCUCUUUUCAAGGCAAAGCAAGGGAAGUCAUCCUAGCCAACGUGGCAAUGUGAGAACUUGCUUCAUUUGUGAAAAAUCACGUCACUUUGCUCGAAAUUGCUACAAAGCUAAGAAAGGAGAUAGAAAAAGUACAAACAAUGCUCAUGAUGAAUAUGGAGGUGAUGUUUAUGCAUUCAUGGCAAGUGAAGGCACUUCUAUGGUUGCCAUAUCCAAGUGGAUCAUUGAUUCUGGUGCCACCAAGCACAUGACUCCAUAUAAGUGUUCAUUUGAUACUUAUGAAGAGAUUUCCACAGCAAAUAUCCUCAUGGGAGACAAUGGCAUAGUACAAGCUAUUAGAAUGGGCUCCAUUAUUAUAGAGAUUUUUGUGAAAGGCCAAACCAAGAGAAUCAGAUUGAAGGACGUCUUACAUGUGCCAAAGAUGAAGAAAACCUCCUCUCUGUGAAUAAACUUGUUCCACAUGGUUGUAAAGUGUAAUUUGAUAAGAAUGGGUGUUUUGUGAAGACAUUGAAAGGAGAUCAUAUUGCAAAGGGCUUUAGAGAUGGCAACCUCUACUUCAUCAAGUGUAAGAAGGUGAAUGGAGUUGAAGUCAUGGCAUUUGCUGAAUUUCCUCAAGAUCAAGACAAGUUUGGUAUUUGGCAUCGACGUCUUGGUCAUUUGAAUGCCAAGAGCAUGAAGGAGCUCCAAUCCAUGGUAAGUGGCUUAGAUCUUGGUCAUGUAAGCUACAAUACUAUGAUACUUGCUUGUGAAGGUUGUAUUCAAGGCAAACAACAAAGGGCCUCAUUUCCAAGUAGAGUUGCAACCAAGUUAUUGGAGAUUGUCCAUUCUAAUGUUUGUGGACCUAUGAAGAUGCCAUCAAUAGGAAGUGCAAGGUAUUUUGUCACAUUCAUUGAUGAAUUUUCAAGGAAAGUAUGGAUUUUCAUCCUCAAAGUAAAGAGUGAGUGUUUCACAAGGUUUAGGGAGUUUAAGGCACUUAUGGAGAAGCAAUGUGAAUUCAAAAUCAAGGUGUUGCAUACAAACAGUGGAGGUGAGUAUAUGUCAAAGCAAUUCAAUAAUUUCUUAAAGUUGCAUGGUACUACAAGACAAACCUCCACUCUUUACACUCCACAACAAAAUGGAGUUGCUGAAAGAGCAAAUCAGACCAUUAUCGAGAUGGCAAGGAUUAUGAUUCAUGCACAACACCUUGGACAUGAGUUUUAGGUGGAAGCAGUGGUGAACGUAGUAUACACGAGAAAUAGGUGUCCUACAAGUGCACUUACAUCAAUGACACUGGAAGAAGCUUGGAGUAGGAGAAAACCUUGUGUUUCUCACAUAAAGACCUUUAGAUGCAUAGCAUAUACAAAGAUACCAGAUUGUAUGAGAUCAAAAUUCGAUGCACAAGGUACAAAAUGUGUAUUUUUUGGAUAUUAAAAAAAUUGAAAAGCUUGAUAGGCUCAUGUGUUUGGAGACUAAAAAGAUCAUCAAAAGUCGUGAUGUUGAUUUUUUGGAGCACAAGAAUCCUUGUGAGCACUUGGAGGUGUGACCAAGUGGGAGUAAUGGUGUGUUUGUGGACACAUCUUCAAAUUCAGCAAAGAAAGAAGAAGACAAAGACAAUGAUGGUUGUAAAGAUGGAAAUGAAGAUGAAGAGGCAAAGAAGGUGGAUAAGAAGGCCUCUAUAAUUGCUAAGACCAGCAAUGAAGAGCAUGAAGAUGUUGAUGAUGAUGAUGGUGAUGAGGAUUAUGAACCUUUGAGUGAAAAAAAGACUAUCUUCAAAAGAAAAGAAGGUUAGAGAUGACCAUGUAGUGCAAUAAGUUGAGUAUUCUUCAAAUAAAAGGAGAUAUCCUUUGAGAGAUAGAAAACAAUCUGGUGAACGGUGGAAGGACCAUAUUUUUCCUCAAAUAAGUAAAGAAUAUAUCAAUGUUGUAUUUUUUGCUGAUCCGUUGAGUUUAUGUCAUGCAAUGAAGUCCACAGAUGCUAUGAAGUGGGAGAAUGCUAUAGAAGAAGAGUAUAAAUCACUCAUGGACAAUGAAACAUGGGAAUUGACUCAACUUCCAUCAAAUCGAGCUUCAAUUGGUUGUAAGUGGGUGUUUAGAAUCAAAAGAGUUGCAAUGGGUAAUAUUGUGAGAUAUGAGGCAAGAUUAGUUGCCAAAGGCUACUCACAAGUUGCUGGUGUUGAUUUCAAUGAGACAUUUGCUCCCGUGGCCAAAUUCACCACUAUUAAAAUCAUUGUGGCAAUUGGGGCAACAAUGGACUUGGAGAUGUAUGAAAUGGAUGUGAAGACGGCUUUCUUGAAUGGAGAAUUAGAAGAAGAUAUCUACAUGGAUCAACCUCAAGGAUUUGUUGAAGAAGGCAAACAACACCUUGUGUGUAAGUUGAAGAAAUCCUUGUAUGGGCUUAAGCAAUCAUCAAGGGCAUGGUACCAACGUAUCGACACCUUCUUUGUGAAUGAAGGAUUUGUGAGGAGUGAAGCUGAUCAUUCCAUGUAUGUGAUGCAAUCAAAAGCCUUCUUAUUGAUUGUUAUUAUUUAUGUUGAUGAUUUGAUCAAUUUGACCAAUACUUUGAAAAAGAUGGAUUUGUUGAAGGUAAAGUUAGCAAAAGAAUUUGAAAUGAGUGAUUUGGGAGAGCUCCACUAUUGCUUAAGAGUGGAAUUUGUAAGAAAUCGAGCUAAAAAGAUCAUUUCAUUGAGCCAAAAGAAGUACAUUGAAGAAGUAUUGAAAUAAUUCAACAUGGAGGAGUGCAAGUCCAUUGAAACACCUUUGGAAGCAAAUUUGAAGUUGAUGAAGCUCACGGUGUCGUAUGGCGUGAUUUGCUAUCUGGGAAUACACUGGGUAUCCAACUGUAGAGAGUGUACCUUAAAACUUUAUAUGAUUCUUUUCUUGGCUUCCAAAACUCCUUUAUUUUUGUAUAAAACUUCAAAUAUAACGAAAUCCCUUCAAACCAUAUUUUUCCUGCGAAGGGUUUUCUCGCCCAGAACUUUAGAAAAUCAUAACUAUUGAUCUAACCGUUCAGUUUGUUUCAAAUUAACAAGAUAGGUAGAAUUUGCCCUUAACUUUUACCACAAAAAAAACAAACCGCAAAUUCACUCCCGAUCUUCUGGCAUCUAAGAAAUCCUAGCAGACACUCCAAACCCUAAUUUACAAGCACCCGAAAAACUAUUUUCCUUAUAUCUCAAAAACCCGAACUCCAAAUGUCAUAAAACUUAUGCACAAAGUUUAUUAACAUGAAAUUACACAUCCCUUGAAAUUUUGAGCCAAAACUUCACAAAAUUGCUCAAGAUAUAGCUCAAGAGACAAAUACUAGUAAAUCGGUUUACUUACUACCCUUAAAUUGCAUGUGCUGACUUCAAAAUCCAAUAACUCCUUCAUCCCAACUUAGAAUCCAGUAAGCAGUAUGUGAAAAGUAUAGCCGCAAAAGUGCUCUAUCCAGUCGCGGUCGCCGAUCCUCAAUUGCCGUCCGUACGCGUGCGUUAUGCCCCAAAGAGUGACAGUAGGUCCAGAACUAAUACCUUAACUUUGAGCGCCUAUAACUUCUUCAUAAAAACCCCAAAUAACAUAAAACUUGCACCAAAACCUUAACCAAAAACCUAAAUCUUCUGACCUUAGCCUUCAAAGUUCG